UACAGAGGGUGCAAGCGUUAAUCGGAAUUACUGGGCGUAAAGCGUGCGUAGACGGUCAUGUAAGUCGGGUGUGAAAGCCCCGGGCUCAACCUGGGAAUUGCAUUCGAGACUGCAUGGCUAGGGUGCGGAAGAGGGAAGCGGAAUUUCCGGUGUAGCGGUGAAAUGCGUAGAUAUCGGAAGGAACACCAGUGGCGAAAAGCGGCUUCCUGGUCCAGCACCGACGUUCAGGCACGAAAGCGUGGGGAGCAAACAGGG
rnacentral:rRNA from 1 species